AGCGAUUACGUCGUGAACAAUGCCGCCUGCCCUGUCACCGUUGUCAAGCCAGCGAGUAACCAUGCCUGAUCUCAUCAUCGCAAAUGUCCACAUGUGUUUUAGUUUGCCAGAGUCCUAUAUAUCCAGUUGGCCGCAACUUAUUGAACCAUCCAGUGUUAUUUGUAAUAAUAAUUGACAAUUAGCCUGUGGAUGAUUCCCAGGUGUGUGUAAUCUGUGCAUGUGUCCUGUACAUCCUGUACAUUUGUGUGCUUAUCUUCAGCCUAGCUUUUGCUCCAUGAGUCAGUCCGUGCUGCUGUUUGUUGCAUACAGUUUGUAGAGUCUGAAUAAAAUGGAUUCUGCUGUCCAUUGCAGAUGCUAGUAAUUUUCUUUCAGCAUUAAAAGAACAGUCACAUUACGGUUGCAUCUGAUGCCACAGUGGAUCAUGAUGAUAAUC
rnacentral:lncRNA from 1 species